AGACUGACACGAAACCUCUUACG
rnacentral:piRNA from 1 species